UCUUCUUGUUGGUUUUCUUUUGAGACGACCAAAUAUGAAGCAAAAGAUCGUUAUCAAGGUGGAUAUGCACUGUGACGAUUGCAUGCACAAGGCCAUGAGGAUCGCUGCAGAAGCAUACGGUGUGAUCUCGGUGAAGCUUGAUGACUCCAAGGACAAAUUGGAGGUGGUCGGAAAUGAAGUC